CGAACCGAUGGAGUGCUUGCAUUCCUGAGGUUAGCGGCGGACGGGUGAGUAACACGUAGGCAACCUGCCUGUACGACCGGGAUAACUCCGGGAAACCGGAGCUAAUACCGGAUAGGAUGCCGAACCGCAUGGUUCGGCAUGGAAAGGCCUUUGAGCCGCGUACAGAUGGGCCUGCGGCGCAUUAGCUAGUUGGUGGGGUAACGGCCUACCAAGGCGACGAUGCGUAGCCGACCUGAGAGGGUGAACGGCCACACUGGGACUGAGACACGGCCCAGACUCCUACGGGAGGCAGCAGUAGGGAAUCUUCCGCAAUGGACGAAAGUCUGACGGAGCAACGCCGCGUGAGUGAGGAAGGUCUUCGGAUCGUAAAACUCUGUUGUCAGGGAAGAACCGCCGGGAUGACCUCCCGGUCUGACGGUACCUGACGAGAAAGCCCCGGCUAACUACGUGCCAGCAGCCGCGGUAAUACGUAGGGGGCAAGCGUUGUCCGGAAUUAUUGGGCGUAAAGCGCGCGCAGGCGGCUUCUUAAGUCAGGUGUGAAAGCCCACGGCUCAACCGUGGAGGGCCAUCUGAAACUGGGGAGCUUGAGUGCAGGAGAGGAGAGCGGAAUUCCACGUGUAGCGGUGAAAUGCGUAGAGAUGUGGAGGAACACCAGUGGCGAAGGCGGCUCUCUGGCCUGUAACUGACGCUGAGGCGCGAAAGCGUGGGGAGCAAACAGGAUUAGAUACCCUGGUAGUCCACGCCGUAAACGAUGAGUGCUAGGUGUUGGGGAGUCCACCUCCUCAGUGCCGCAGCUAACGCAAUAAGCACUCC
rnacentral:rRNA from 1 species